CCCCAGGGAGCGCAGAGCGGCCGGCAGGCCCCAGACCCAGAGCCAGCGAGGGGCCCGGCGGCCCAGUCCCCGAGGGCCCAGCAUGAGCCGAAAGAAGCUGCAGAAGUUGACGGACACUUUAACCAAAAAUUGCAAACAUUUUAAUACAUUUGAAGUGGAAUGUCUUAUAAAUCUUUUUUAUAAGUUGGUGGGAGAUGUAACAGAGCGUCAAGGUAUGGUAAUUGGAAUAGAUCGUAAUACAUUUCGAAACAUCCUACACAUGACUUUUGGAAUGACAGAUGACAUGAUAAUGGACAGAGUCUUCCGAGGUUUUGAUAAGGACAACGAUGGCUGUAUAAAUGUGUCAGAGUGGAUUUAUGGAUUAUCAGUAUUUCUUCGAGGAACUCUGGAAGAAAAAAUGAAAUAUUGCUUUGAAGUGUUUGAUUUGAAUGGUGACGGAUUCAUUUCAAAGGACGAAAUGUUCCAUAUGUUGAAGAACAGCCUUCUCAAACAGCCAUCUGAAGAAGACCCUGAUGAAGGAAUUAAAGAUUUGGUUGAAAUAACUCUUAAAAAAAUGGACCAUGAUCAUGAUGGGAAGCUGUCUUUCUCAGAUUAUGAACAGUCUGUGAGAGAAGAGACCCUUCUGCUGGAAGCUUUCGGACCAUGUCUACCUGAUCCAAAGAGUCAGAUGGAAUUUGAAGCCCACGUUUUCAAGGAUACAGAUGAAUUCAAUGAUAUAUGAAUACCUAAAUGUCUGUGUUGUCUCAACAGGGUCAUCCGAGUGCACAGAACGCCUUUGAGGAAAAGCCCUCUUUCCCCUCGCUCUGAGCUCGGCAGCCUCCCCUGCCUGCGGCCGGCUUCCCCAGGGCCCGAGGACGACCAGCAGAGAGCCAGCCAGGCCCCUCUGGGACACAUACAGGUUGCCUGGCUCACAGUGUGGAGCCUGUCUGGGAAACAAUCAAGGACAUGCUUUAAACUACAGGAUUCAAAAACCACCACCGAAAACUGGUCGUCCUGCAUUCUUAACCUGCAGAUGUCUUCGUGUACAAGAUCACGCUUGUUCAGAAGCCACGCCUGCAGUUGCCUGCAUCAUAAAGUCAUCCAAAACGUUUACCAGGUUCCCACUUGGUGAGGCGAGCGCAUGUGAGCUUGGCUGCCCUCCCCUCACCUGACCUGUGUUGUCAACGGAGGACCCGGCCUGAGCGGCUGUGUCGCCCCUUCCCUGUCUGGGAGCACAGUGUCCGUCCCUCUCCUGCCCUGCUCCACCUCCCCCUGGAGUUGUACCAUUUUUAAUUAAAGGACAUUGUGAAAGGGAAUUAAAAUAAAAUGUACUUUGAAAC